CUCUUAGAUGUUCUGGGCCGCACGCGCGCUACAAUGGUCUUCGCAAACGGAUGCAUUCUCGAAGGAGAAUGCCAAUCUUGGAAUCUAUGCCUUGGUCGGGACAGUUGCUUGCAAUUUUUCGACUCGAACCAGGAAUUCCUUGUAAUCGUGAUUCAUCACAUCACGAUGAAUACGUCCCUGCCCUUUGUACACACCGCCCGUCGCUCCUACCGAUCGAAGAGUUAGGUGAAUUGUUUUGAUCGAUAAGAUUUGACUAUGGUCAACUCUCGUUGUGAAAUUCUGUGAAUCUGACUGUUUAGAGGAAGGAAAAGUCGUAACA
rnacentral:rRNA from 1 species